AAUAGAUACCCAGGUAGUCCACGCCGUAAACGAUGGAUACUAGCUGUCCGGCGCAAGCUGGGUGGCUAAGCGAAAGUGAUAAGUAUCCCACCUGGGGAGUACGUUCGCAAGAAUGAAACUCAAGGGAAUUGACGGGGGCCCGCACAAGCGGUGGAGCAUGUGGUUUAAUUCGAUGAUACGCGAGGAACCUUACCAGGGCUUAAAUGUAGUGGGACAGGUCCAGAGAUGGGCCCUUCUUCGGACUCAUUACAAGGUGCUGCAUGGUUGUCGUCAGCUCGUGCCGUGAGGUGUCAGGUUAAGUCCUAUAACGAGCGCAACCCCUGUCGUUAGUUGCCAGCGAGUGAAGUCGGGAACUCUAACGAGACUGCCGGUGCAAACCGUGAGGAAGGUGGGGAUGACGUCAAAUCAUCACGGCCCUUACGUCCUGGGCUACACACGUGCUACAAUGGCCGGUACAGAGAGCAGCCACGCCGCAAGGCGGAGCGAAUCUACAAAACCGGUCACAGUUCGGAUCGGGGUCUGCAACUCGACCCCGU
rnacentral:rRNA from 1 species